CACGUGGGAACCUUCCCUAUAGUACGGAAUAGCCCAGGGAAACUUGGAGUAAUACCGUAUACGCCCGAAAGGGGAAAGAAUUAUCGCUAUAGGAUGGGCCCGCGUAGGAUUAGCUAGUUGGUGAGGUAAUGGCUCACCAAGGCGACGAUCCUUAGCUGGUUUGAGAGAACGACCAGCCACACUGGGACUGAGACACGGCCCAGACUCCUACGGGAGGCAGCAGUGGGGAAUAUUGGACAAUGGGCGCAAGCCUGAUCCAGCCAUGCCGCGUGAGUGAUGAAGGCCUUAGGGUUGUAAAGC
rnacentral:rRNA from 1 species